rnacentral:lncRNA from 1 species
GCGGUAUAAUAGUUAGUAUAUAAAUAAGAAAUUCGGAAGUAAUAUUACAGGAGAAACAAUGUCGGCAAAAACUGUUUUGGUCCUCACGCUUGUUGCAAACAUUAUGUCAGCAUCACUUGCCUAUAGGGACUAUUGUAUCCGAGAAGACAAUAAUGCACACUAUAAUAUCGGCGAGUUUUAUUGGAAUGAUUGCAAUAGAUGCACGUGUAGCGGCGGAGGAUACUCCAAUCCACAGUUUGCUUGCACUUUGAAAGCGUGCCCUCCUGGAUAUGCUUAGGCAAAGCAAGGCAGGAACAAGUCUAAUUCUAAUUGGAACUGGAGUAUAUAUCUGAAUAAAAUCUUCAAAAAAUCA